UAAAAAAGCUCGUAGUUGGAUUUCUGUUGAAGACGUCCGGUCCAUACCACGUAUGCGCAUCUGGCUCGGCUUCGGCAUCCUCUCGAAAGACGUUUCUGCGCUCGAUUGCGUGGAGCGGAUCUCGGGACUUUUACUUUGAGGAAAUUAGAGUGUUCACGGCAGGCUAUCGCCAGAAUACAUUAGCAUGGAAUAAUACUAUAGGAUCUCGGUUCUAUUUUGUUGGUUUUAAGAAUUGAGACAAUGAUUAAUAGGGACAAUUGGGGGCAUUCGUAUCAACACGUUAGAGGUGAAAUUCUUGGAUCGUGUUGCGACGAACUGCUGCGAAAGC
rnacentral:rRNA from 1 species